rnacentral:ncRNA from 1 species
CAGGAGAUGGCAUUCCUCCUCUAACCGCCCCCCGGCUGAUGAUGCCUACGCAU